rnacentral:rRNA from 1 species
GGGUUGUGAGGUUAAGCGACUAAGCGUACACGGUGGAUGCCCUGGCAGUCAGAGGCGAUGAAGGACGUGCUAAUCUGCGAUAAGCGUCGGUAAGGUGAUAUGAACCGUUAUAACCGGCGAUUUCCGAAUGGGGAAACCCAGUGUGAUUCGUCACACUAUCAUUAACUGAAUCCAUAGGUUAAUGAGGCGAACCGGGGGAACUGAAACAUCUAAGUACCCCGAGGAAAAGAAAUCAACCGAGAUUCCCCCAGUAGCGGCGAGCGAACGGGGAGCAGCCCAGAGCCUGAAUCAGUGUGUGUGUUAGUGGAAGCGUCUGGAAAGGCGCGCGAUACAGGGUGACAGCCCCGUACACAAAAAUGCACAUGCUGUGAGCUCGAUGAGUAGGGCGGGACACGUGGUAUCCUGUCUGAAUAUGGGGGGACCAUCCUCCAAGGCUAAAUACUCCUGACUGACCGAUAGUGAACCAGUACCGUGAGGGAAAGGCGAAAAGAACCCCGGCGAGGGGAGUGAAAAAGAACCUGAAACCGUGUACGUACAAGCAGUGGGAGCACGCUUAGGCGUGUGACUGCGUACCUUUUGUAUAAUGGGUCAGCGACUUAUAUUCUGUAGCAAGGUUAACCGAAUAGGGGAGCCGAAGGGAAACCGAGUCUUAACUGGGCGUUAAGUUGCAGGGUAUAGACCCGAAACCCGGUGAUCUAGCCAUGGGCAGGUUGAAGGUUGGGUAACACUAACUGGAGGACCGAACCGACUAAUGUUGAAAAAUUAGCGGAUGACUUGUGGCUGGGGGUGAAAGGCCAAUCAAACCGGGAGAUAGCUGGUUCUCCCCGAAAGCUAUUUAGGUAGCGCCUCGUGAAUUCAUCUCCGGGGGUAGAGCACUGUUUCGGCAAGGGGGUCAUCCCGACUUACCAACCCGAUGCAAACUGCGAAUACCGGAGAAUGUUAUCACGGGAGACACACGGCGGGUGCUAACGUCCGUCGUGAAGAGGGAAACAACCCAGACCGCCAGCUAAGGUCCCAAAGUCAUGGUUAAGUGGGAAACGAUGUGGGAAGGCCCAGACAGCCAGGAUGUUGGCUUAGAAGCAGCCAUCAUUUAAAGAAAGCGUAAUAGCUCACUGGUCGAGUCGGCCUGCGCGGAAGAUGUAACGGGGCUAAACCAUGCACCGAAGCUGCGGCAGCGACGCUUAUGCGUUGUUGGGUAGGGGAGCGUUCUGUAAGCCUGUGAAGGUGUGCUGUGAGGCAUGCUGGAGGUAUCAGAAGUGCGAAUGCUGACAUAAGUAACGAUAAAGCGGGUGAAAAGCCCGCUCGCCGGAAGACCAAGGGUUCCUGUCCAACGUUAAUCGGGGCAGGGUGAGUCGACCCCUAAGGCGAGGCCGAAAGGCGUAGUCGAUGGGAAACAGGUUAAUAUUCCUGUACUUGGUGUUACUGCGAAGGGGGGACGGAGAAGGCUAUGUUGGCCGGGCGACGGUUGUCCCGGUUUAAGCGUGUAGGCUGGUUUUCCAGGCAAAUCCGGAAAAUCAAGGCUGAGGCGUGAUGACGAGGCACUACGGUGCUGAAGUAACAAAUGCCCUGCUUCCAGGAAAAGCCUCUAAGCAUCAGGUAACAUCAAAUCGUACCCCAAACCGACACAGGUGGUCAGGUAGAGAAUACCAAGGCGCUUGAGAGAACUCGGGUGAAGGAACUAGGCAAAAUGGUGCCGUAACUUCGGGAGAAGGCACGCUGAUAUGUAGGUGAAGUCCCUUGCGGAUGGAGCUGAAAUCAGUCGAAGAUACCAGCUGGCUGCAACUGUUUAUUAAAAACACAGCACUGUGCAAACACGAAAGUGGACGUAUACGGUGUGACGCCUGCCCGGUGCCGGAAGGUUAAUUGAUGGGGUUAGCGCAAGCGAAGCUCUUGAUCGAAGCCCCGGUAAACGGCGGCCGUAACUAUAACGGUCCUAAGGUAGCGAAAUUCCUUGUCGGGUAAGUUCCGACCUGCACGAAUGGCGUAAUGAUGGCCAGGCUGUCUCCACCCGAGACUCAGUGAAAUUGAACUCGCUGUGAAGAUGCAGUGUACCCGCGGCAAGACGGAAAGACCCCGUGAACCUUUACUAUAGCUUGACACUGAACAUUGAGCCUUGAUGUGUAGGAUAGGUGGGAGGCUUGGAAGUGUGGACGCCAGUCUGCAUGGAGCCGACCUUGAAAUACCACCCUUUAAUGUUUGAUGUUCUAACGUGGACCCGUGAUCCGGGUUGCGGACAGUGUCUGGUGGGUAGUUUGACUGGGGCGGUCUCCUCCUAAAGAGUAACGGAGGAGCACGAAGGUUGGCUAAUCCUGGUCGGACAUCAGGAGGUUAGUGCAAUGGCAUAAGCCAGCUUGACUGCGAGCGUGACGGCGCGAGCAGGUGCGAAAGCAGGUCAUAGUGAUCCGGUGGUUCUGAAUGGAAGGGCCAUCGCUCAACGGAUAAAAGGUACUCCGGGGAUAACAGGCUGAUACCGCCCAAGAGUUCAUAUCGACGGCGGUGUUUGGCACCUCGAUGUCGGCUCAUCACAUCCUGGGGCUGAAGUAGGUCCCAAGGGUAUGGCUGUUCGCCAUUUAAAGUGGUACGCGAGCUGGGUUUAGAACGUCGUGAGACAGUUCGGUCCCUAUCUGCCGUGGGCGCUGGAGAACUGAGGGGGGCUGCUCCUAGUACGAGAGGACCGGAGUGGACGCAUCACUGGUGUUCGGGUUGUCAUGCCAAUGGCACUGCCCGGUAGCUAAAUGCGGAAGAGAUAAGUGCUGAAAGCAUCUAAGCACGAAACUUGCCCCGAGAUGAGUUCUCCCUGACUCCUUGAGAGUCCUGAAGGAACGUUGAAGACGACGACGUUGAUAGGCCGGGUGUGUAAGCGCAGCGAUGCGUUGAGCUAACCGGUACUAAUGAACCGUGAGGCUUAACCUUACAACGCCGAAGCUGUU